rnacentral:rRNA from 1 species
AGUGAACGCUGGCGGUAGGCCUAACACAUGCAAGUCGAACGGCAGCACAGUAAGAGCUUGCUCUUACGGGUGGCGAGUGGCGGACGGGUGAGGAAUACAUCGGAAUCUACUUUUUCGUGGGGGAUAACGUAGGGAAACUUACGCUAAUACCGCAUACGACCUACGGGUGAAAGCAGGGGAUCUUCGGACCUUGCGCGAUUGAAUGAGCCGAUGUCGGAUUAGCUAGUUGGCGGGGUAAAGGCCCACCAAGGCGACGAUCCGUAGUUGGUCUGAGAGGAUGAUCAGCCACACUGGAACUGAGACACGGUCCAGACUCCUACGGGAGGCAGCAGUGGGGAAUAUUGGACAAUGGGCGCAAGCCUGAUCCAGCCAUACCGCGUGGGUGAAGAAGGCCUGCGGGUUGUAAAGCCCUUUUGUUGGGAAAGAAAAGCAGCAGGUUAAUACCCCGCUGUUCUGACGGUACCCAAAGAAUAAGCACCGGCUAACUUCGUG